UGUAAGCGUAUACCAAAGUUGUUGCAGUUAAAACGCUCGUAGUCGGAAUUUGGCAGUUCCGGAUGUGUGCACGUCGUGUGCGCACUUCGCGGGGAUUGCUUUUGUGGUCUUGCGUAGGAUGAGGCACUUUUAUUAGUGAACGUCCUCACGCAACCACUUUUUACUGUGAGAAAAUCAGAGUGCUCAAAGCAGGCAUUUGCCGUGAAUGUAUUAGCAUGGAAUAAUAGAAUAGGACUUGGUUCUAUUUUGUUGGUUUGUUGGGACUGAGUAAUGAUUAAGAGGGACAGUUGGGGGCAUUUGUAUUUCGGUGCUAGAGGUGAAAUUCUUAAAUUACCGAAAGACAAACUGCUGCGAAAGCGUCUGCCAAGGAUGUUUUCAUUGA
rnacentral:rRNA from 1 species